UUACUUAAUAGAUUGUAACCACUGGAGGCAAAAUACCAACAUGCCCACCAAAAUAAAAGAAGGCGCAUUCCCUUCUAUCUAUAAAACUUGUAUGAGUGAAUUCAGACACUUCCAACAAAUGAUCUCUAUUAAACCUUUUGUUAACAUAUUUCUUUUGAAAAAUGCUACCCUUGCUUCAAUUAAUUCUUAAAAUAAUGAAGAAUUUAGUAAAAUAGUUUCGUCAUUAUUAAGUUGAUGCUUGGAAGGUAAAUUGACAUGAAAUUUUGAUGACAGAUUUUAAUUUAGAUCUCUUUGAAAACAGGGUUGUAUCACACAGCUAAAUGCAACUUUUGGCAGUUCAAUAUCAAAUGGGUUAACCAUGGCUGUCCAUAGGAGAGGGCAGAUUUUCCAACAUUAUUCCAUUAUCUUGUAUCCUUUGGUCUAUCUAUGUAAUGUGAGGUCAUCAUCUGUCAUAGCAACAAUUAAUAUAUGACCUCAUAACUGUUUCUCCAGCUGUGGCCAAUAAACUUUAAUCUUCCUUUUCAAAAUGUUAUUGGAGAUAGUUUGCCAUAAAAUUCAGCUCUGAUUUUUAUGUUUCCUUCAAGAGAUGUUGAGUAUUGCCAUUUUGAAGGGCUUUUGUUCAUAUCCAUGUUUCAGCAUCAUACACUGACACACUUUCUAUUGUUGCUCUACAGAAUUUAAGUUUCAGACCUCAAUUUACACUUGAUUCCUAUAUUGUUGUCAUUUUCUUAGAUACUGACCAAGCAUAUGCAACAGUAAGCUUUAAUACUGGAAAUUUUUCCCUUCUUGUUUCUUCAACUGGAUCCAUUAAAAGGUGUUACGGAAGCAUCAAAAGAAGUUUUCAGAAGCAAGAAAUUAAAGAAACUACUUGAAAUUGUCCUUGCUUUUGGUAAUUACAUGAACCGAGGUCAAUGAGGGAAUGCCAGUGGUUUCAAACUAAUAAGUUUAAACAAGAUUAUUGACACCAAAUCCAGUAUUAACAAAAACGUUACCUUAUUACACUAUCUUCUUGAGACUUUUGAGAAAAAAGUAAGUAUAUAUA